GUGGGGAAUAACGUACGGAAACGUACGCUAAUACCGCAUAAUUAUUACGAGAUAAAGCAGGGGCUUGAUAAAUAAAAUCAACCUUGCGCUUUUAGAAAAAUUACAUGCCGAUUAGCUAGUUGGUAGAGUAAAAGCCUACCAAGGUAACGAUCCGUAGUGGUCUGAGAGGAUGAUCAGCCACACUGGGACUGAGAAAAGGCCCAGACUCCUACGGGAGGCAGCAGUGGGGAAUAUUGGACAAUGGGGGGAACCCUGAUCCAGUCAUGCCGCGUGUGUGAAGAAGGCCUUUGGGUUGUAAAGCACUUUCAGCGAAGAAGAAAAGUUAGAAAAUAAAAAGUUAUAACUAUGACGGUACUCGCAGAAGAAGCACCGGCUAACUCCGUGCCAGCAGCCGCGGUAAGACGGAGGGUGCAAGCGUUAAUCAGAAUUACUGGCGUAAAGGCAUGUAGGUGGUUUGUUAAGCUUUAUGUGAAAGCCCUAUGCUUAACAUAGGAACGGAAUAAAGAACUGACAAACUAGAGUGAGAAGAGGAAGGUAGAAUUCCAGGUUGUAGCGGUGAAAUGCGUAGAUAUCUGGAGGAAUACCAGUUGCGAAGGCGACCUUCUGGGCUGACACUGACACUGAGAUGCGAAAGCGUGGGAGCAAACAGGAUUAGAUACCCUGGUAGUCCACGCUGUAAACGAUAUCAACUAGCCGUUGGAUUCUUAAAGAAUUUUGUGGCGUAGCUAACGCGAUAAGUUGAUCGCCUGGGGAGUACGGUCGCAAGGCUAAAACUCAAAUGAAUUGACGGGGCCCGCACAAGCGGUGGAGCAUGUGGUUUAAUUCGAUGCAACGCGCAAAAACCUUACCUACUCUUGACAUCCAAAGUACUUUCCAGAGAUGGAAGGGUGCCUUAGGGAACUUUGAGACAGGUGCUGCAUGGCUGUCGUCAGCUCGUGUUGUGAAAUGUUG
rnacentral:rRNA from 1 species